GUAGUUGUGGAAUCCGUAGUCUGU
rnacentral:siRNA from 1 species